UAGGGAAUAUUGGUCAAUGGGCGGAAGCCUGAACCAGCCAUGCCGCGUGCAGGAAGACGGCCUUCGGGGUUGUAAACUGCUUUUUAUCGGGAAGAAAGGUUCUCAUGCGUGAGGAUUUGCCGGUACCGAUAGAAUAAGCCACGGCUAACUACGUGCCAGCAGCCGCGGUAAUACGUAGGUGGCAAGCGUUGUCCGGAUUUAUUGGGUUUAAAGGGUGCGCAGGCGGGCUGAUAAGUCAGUGGUGAAAGGCACUGGCUUAACCAGUGAAUUGCCAUUGAAACUGUCAGUCUUGAGUGCGGUUGAGGUAGGCGGAAUUUAUGGUGUAGCGGUGAAAUGCAUAGAUACCAUAAAGAACCCCGAUAGCGAAAGCAGCUUACUAAGCCGCAACUGACGCUGAGGCACGAAGGCGUGGGUAUCAAACA
rnacentral:rRNA from 1 species